CAACACUACAAAACGUUAGGGCAAAUAAAUUUUCUCCCUUUUUCGUCUCGUUCCCUUCUUCCGCCAUGCGAGAGGGCCAACAUCGCCUCAUCCUUCUAUCGGUGACAAGCUACUCCGGCGCCGGCCUUUAGGAAAUCCGGUUUGAAAGAAGAUUGGCUUACGGGUUCAUUUCUAUGAUUGUAAAGGCUAUUAUCUUUUUAUUUUGAGAGCUGACGGGGAUCUGUUGCUGCAAAAUAUUGGCAUGAUGAAUAACUUGCUCUCAGGAGCUUUUCAAUGAAAUUGCUUACUCAGUUUGGUACAUUUUUGGAUCUGGUGGCUAAUAAGAGUUUUAUUUUUGGUCCGGAAAUCAGGCGCAAAGGAAAUUGGAAUCGUAAUUCUGUACCGGAGUAAAACCGUGACACAUGCCGCGCCAUUUGAGCAUAAAAGUUGCGGUUUUGGCGCAGUUCAUUCCGCGCCAAUUCCUCAUUUUUCUGACAUAUUUACAAAAUGAGCUAAACAAGAUUCCCCCUGAAGGGUAGACUCCGGCUGUUCGGGAGACUCUAUACCGACGGGCUCUUGGGGGAAAAAGCAAGAAGCACUCAAAGGUUGACAGUGCUACGAGUUCAGGUCAUCCCCUCAAUGAAGCAACUAGUUUAAUAGAUAUUGUAGCAUUCCAGCAAGGGUGGGAAAAAAUGCAUAAUGGGAUAUCAGAGUUGACGGCAACGAUGACUAAGUUCAAAAAUAUCAAGGCUGAUGUGUAUCCAUUCAUGCACGAAAACUCUAUAGCAGUUACUGGCCCAUUUGAAGUAGUCGUAAUAUCCGUACUUUGCAUAAUUGUGUCCUAUGUUCUUUGGAUGGCUAAGGAAUUCACUAUGGUCUGCUUAUACUACUUGAUUGGCCACAACUCGUAUUGAUACGGUCUCUGAGCUUCUCAGGCCUGUUUCCAAAUCACCUAUGACGGUAUGAAGUCUUCUAAACAUGAAGUUAACUAGUAAUCCGUGCAGUGUCAACUUUAGGCCAAUUCUCUUGGCCAACUAUGUUUCUAACUCAUUUGUAAUGUCUAUUGUAGGUCGGUACCCGUGUGCUUAUAUUAUCUUGUACUAGAUAAAAAAAAAAUUUUGCUAAGGGACUUGUGCUCUGCCCCCCGUGCCUGGUUCGUGGCAUUGUGCCUUGAGAUUUUUCUUUUAAAUCCUUCAAUAUGAUGUUCAUACCGCAUCGUCGAUGUUGUGACCAUUCAGGUCUCAUUGUGCAGAUGAUCAUGGUUUUCUUGAGUCUGCGCAUAUUCAGUUUGACAUACGUGGUAGUUAGAAUAUUAUGUAUACGUAGGCUGUUAAUGCAGGGGCAGUGGCUAUGUUGGUAUUAUGUCAAUUCUGUGUUGAUCUUAUAUUUUUUAUCGUUCACAUGACAUUGUUUAUGGCUAUGUUCCUAUUACCCUAUUUAGGUGCACAUUGUAGUGCCAAAAUUGAUAAAUGUUGGCCUUAUUAUUGAGUAUCUUGUAG